rnacentral:tRNA from 1 species
UGGCGGUGUAGCUCAGCUGGCUAGAGCGUACGGUUCAUACCCGUGAGGUCGGGGGUUCGAUCCCCGGCCCGUUGG